CGGAGCGUGGCGCAGCCUGGUAGCGCAUCUGCUUUGGGAGCAGAGGGUCGCGAGUUCGAAUCUCGCCGCUCCGACCA
rnacentral:tRNA from 3 species